rnacentral:rRNA from 1 species
UUUUUGAACUGUUCUUUUCUCUUUAGGAUAAAGGACGAGGUGGGUGGGGUGGCGUAGAUAGGUAGAUUGUCUUUAUCCGCUUUUCCUCUCCCGCGCGAUCAUUUGUUUUUCGCGUCGCCGUUGUCGACACCGUGUCCGUCGUCGCAGUCGGAGUCGGUAUAGUCAGUCAGGUUGGGGGCUGCGCAGAAGUCAGAAGCGGGGGUCGUUCGGUUUCGGAGGCGGAAAGAGGAGGAAAAGGCGGGUUUGUUUGGCGGGGGAGGGGAGGGCAGCGGGAGUGGAGGCGGGAGCGGCCGUCAUCAUAUGCGGGCGGUGGUCGAGGCUGCUGGGCGCGGAAGGGAGUGAGGGCGGCAGCGGCGGAGGGCGCGGGCCAGGGGGCAGGAGGGGAGGCGGCGCCCAAACAAGAUCUCCCACAUAGACUUCAAGAGAGUCGUAGGCUCACGCGUCGAAACAUGUUUUCCUUGGUAAGUCCGGUAGAGUCUGACAGAAGUACCUACUUACUAUUCUAGUGGUCAACGACAGUGAAAUUCAUAGAUGUUCAGUGAGAAAAGUAUUAUAAAGACUCGUCUCCAACCCCUCAGUUCAACAUUCCCACAUUUCUACCUGAUGAGAUUACCAAGAAAGAAAGGAAGUACCGGACUGUUAAGGCGAAGACUCUUAAUAUCGAAACAACUACCAAGUCACCUUAGUAUACGUCUUCUUCCUUCAUACGGUGGACGUCCGAUAAAGUCUCGAUCUAGUUUAGUCUUAAAUUGUAAACUACUCGUACUUGUCUUGGGACGAUACGAACGUUUACCCACGAACGGCAUGUUGUGGGUCUGACUAGAUAAUAGACCACUCUAAGACAGUCUCUUGUUUGGAAGGUUGUCGGAAUACCUCGAAGGUGUUGAAGUCUUGUUACCGUCAGACGUUUCAUUAAAUUAGGGUAGUCCCUGAGAAGUGACGUGAAGUUGUGGACCUUGUAAACUGGACGUCAACCUAUGGGGACCGGAAGAUCUUGAAGGAGUACGGAACAGGUCAAGUUAACUUUCGUUACCAUCACUUCAAAGUCGAAAAGAACGACUACAUGUACGACAAAGAAGUCGGAGUUGAGACACAAGCUGUAAGGUUUUACAAGGAAGGAUGUACCUUGGUCAUUCGGAUCUUCGAAAGUCAAAAGUUCCCUAUGUUUUACGACGAUACAAGUUGUUAUGUUCAGUAAGUUUACCCUUGGACAGUCAUAAACUACUCCGUUGGUACCGUAGUGAUGUACUAUCGUUUCUUAAAGAGUCACCACCGUAGAGUAGAAAACCAUGCCGGCUCGUCAGAGUUGAUCGACCAUCACCAAACUUCCGACUUGUUGUCCUUGUUUUACACUACACGUUAUAAGGCGAGGGAAAGCGAAGACCAUCAGUCUACCGUCACUCACUUCGUGUUCCCUGUGACUAAGGAAGUUUCUAUUCGAGUUGCUAGGUAUUGUUAUUUUCACUCAUGGGACAGGGAUAGUCGGUAAGACGACUACGCGUCUUGUUCCGUUUAAGUCGAUUACCUUUAUCACGGUCACGAUUCGGUGCUCGUUCCCGAGCAGCACCUGUCCGUUGACUGGGAGUAUCAUAACGACUUGCCGAAGCGUCUCUCUUCUAGAGUCUCUCCUACUUUUUAGAGGUUCUGGAACAUGGUUUAAGUUUAUUCCGUCUAUUUAGUAGUUACGAACUACUUUAUUAACUAAUACACUUUAAAGAAGUCGAAGUCCACUUCCAGAAUUCGUACUCAUCCGAUCCUCGAGGGCCCCGUCAAGAAGGGGAGGAACGUCUUAGAGUUUGACUCCCGGUAUCGUUAAGUAGAGAUAGUGGAGGUUGGCGAAGUGUUCCCGAAGACCUACGUCGUCCGGGUCUUCUGUCGAACCAGAAACUCGUUCUUCAAUAUUUCGACUACCUUUGUUCGUAGUGUUUACGUUACGUCAUGGAAGUCUUGUUCCCGGAGACGGACUACGGAUAGCGAGAACGAAGUCGGUAUAGGUUGGUCUUUCCGUGAAGACGUCGACGUCAGGGAGGACUUUCCACUUUUGUCUUUCGUGUAGUACGAGGAGGGUAGCCGGACUCCUUUGUUGACGGCUUUACACGAUCUCAAGUAUCUUCAAUACUCUUUUGAUUUAGGCUCCGACUUCCUAUCCUUCAAUACGCUGAUUAUCAUGUUCGAAUACCAUAUUAGAUCAUCGAAUGAGGUUCUUUGGAUAUGGAAAAGAGAAGAGACAACGUGUAGCCAACUACACAUAAGAAAACAAAAAACCUGCCGUAAGAUUAACCCAUGUUCACAGACCGUGGUGGAACCCAACAUGUACCUAGAUACUCCCAAUAAUGGCUGACAAGUACUACAAUAUACUACUAGUUUCGUCUGGAUCCUUUUGAGCCAACGAAACCCAAAGUGAACCAAUCCCGUUGAGAUUAGAGGAGCUUUGAAUUGAGGGUUUCCUUAUACACAUCAUCGGAGCAAAAAAUAGCUGGGGG